rnacentral:rRNA from 1 species
UACGAAGGGGGCUAGCGUUGUUCGGAAUUACUGGGCGUAAAGCGUAUGCAGGCGGAUCGUUAAGUCGGGGGUGAAAUCCCGAGGCUCAACCUCGGAACUGCCUUCGAUACUGGCGAUCUUGAGUCCGGAAGAGGCGAGUGGAACUCCUGGUGUAGCGGUGGAAUGCGCAGAUAUCAGGAAGAACACCGACGGCGAAGGCAGCUCGCUGGGACGGUACUGACGCUCAUGCACGAAAGCGUGGGGAGCAAACAGG